rfam:Triticum aestivum genome assembly, contig: Triticum_aestivum_CS42_TGACv1_scaffold_049399_1BS
UUCAUACUCCCUCCGUCCGAGAAUACUUGUCAUCAAAAUGGAUAAAAAGAGAUGAAUCUAGAACUAAAAUACGUCUAGAUUCAUCCCCUUUUAUCCAUUUUGAUGACAAGUAUUUCCGGACGGAGGGAGUAUUUC